CCUACGGGUGGCAGCAGUGGGGAAUAUUGGACAAUGGGGGCAACCCUGAUCCAACCAUGCCGCGUGUGUGAAGAAGGCCCUCGGGUUGUAAAGCACUUUCAGUGAGGAAGAACGCCUGGUGGUUAAUACCCAUCAGGAAAGACAUCACUCACAGAAGAAGCACCGGCUAACUCCGUGCCAGCAGCCGCGGUAAUACGGAGGGUGCGAGCGUUAAUCGGAAUUACUGGGCGUAAAGCGCGCGUAGGUGGCUUGAUAAGCCGGUUGUGAAAGCCCCGGGCUCAACCUGGGAACGGCAUCCGGAACUGUCAAGCUAGAGUGCAGGAGAGGAAGGUAGAAUUCCCGGUGUAGCGGUGAAAUGCGUAGAGAUCGGGAGGAAUACCAGUGGCGAAGGCGGCCUUCUGGACUGACACUGACACUGAGGUGCGAAAGCGUGGGUAGCAAACAGGAUUAGAUACCCUAGUAGUC
rnacentral:rRNA from 1 species